rfam:Triticum aestivum genome assembly, contig: Triticum_aestivum_CS42_TGACv1_scaffold_592938_7BS
GCAAUACUCCCUCCGUUCGGAAUUACUUGUCACAAAAAUGGAUGUAUCUACAACUAAAAUACAUCUAGAUACAUUCAAUUCUUGGACGAGUAAUUCCGAACGAAGGGAGUACAAC